rnacentral:rRNA from 1 species
GACGAGUCUCACGAACGUUAUUCGGAAUUACUGGGCUUAAAGGGUGCGUAGGCGGUGGAGUAAGUCGGAUGUGAAAUACCAUAGCUUAACUAUGGAACUGCACUCGAUACUACUUUGCUAGAGUAAGACAGAGGUGAGUGGAACUGAGGGUGGAGCGGUGAAAUGCGUUGAUAUCCUCAGGAACACCGGUGGCGAAGGCGACUCACUGGUCUUUACGUGACGCUGAUGCACGAAAGCUAGGGUAGCAAACGGG